GCAAUGACUGAGGAGAAAGUGACCUACUCAGAGCUGAAACUUACUGAUUCAAAGAAACGGAGAAGCAAACAGAACACAGCUCACAGAAAGAGAGGAAACCAAUAUACAGUAAUCCUGGGAAUCAUAUGCCUUUUGCUCCUCCUGGUGAUUGUCAUCUUAGGAUAUAUGGGUUUUCAGAAACCUGCAACACAGGAUUUGAAAAAUCUUAAAGAAAACAAUAUUUUCUCACCGGAAAUUGAAGAUAAUUUCACUUCA